rnacentral:rRNA from 1 species
AACGAACGCUGGCGGCAGGCUUAACACAUGCAAGUCGAGCGCACCGCAAGGUGAGCGGCAGACGGGUGAGUAACGCGUGGGAAUCUACCGAGCCCUAAGGAAUAGCUCCGGGAAACUGGAAUUAAUACCUUAUACGCCCUUUGGGGGAAAGAUUUAUCGGGGUUUGAUGAGCCCGCGUUGGAUUAGCUAGUUGGUGGGGUAAAGGCCUACCAAGGCGGCGAUCCAUAGCUGGUCUGAGAGGAUGAUCAGCCACAUUGGGACUGAGACACGGCCCAAACUCCUACGGGAGGCAGCAGUGGGGAAUAUUGGACAAUGGGCGCAAGCCUGAUCCAGCCAUGCCGCGUGAGUGAUGAAGGCCCUAGGGUUGUAAAGCUCUUUCACCGGUGAAGAUAAUGACGGUAACCGGAGAAGAAGCCCCGGCUAACUUCGUGCCAGCCGCCGCGGUAAUAC